AUUUAUCUUCAGAAGACAAGCAGAUGAGGAGACAAAACCUACUGAUGUGGGUACCCAAGCAGGAACCCCCCUCUUGCACCGGCGACUCACGUGGGAAGAAGAAUUCACUGAGCUGAAAUGGAGUGAGAGCUAAGAUGCUCUCAGAAUAUUCUUAAAAUGACUGUGCUGCAAAGAAGCCUGGGUGAAUAGAAGAAAAUAAAAGGAAUGGUGGAUACAAGUGAAGGUUAAAAUGAGACCCCAUUUAUCGCACCAGCUGUUGGUGAUUUCAGCGCUCCUUUCCAAGCCUCUUGAGAGUUCUGCUCUAACCACACUGCCCCCUAGUGUUCUCUCGCUUUGGUGCAACUGCAGGUUUCUCAUACUUCUGGAGAAAUAGAAAGCACCAGAUGACAGCCACCACACACUUUUGUCCCCAUUGCAAUAGGAUGCUUCUAACAAUCGUAAAAUUAUGAAACACUGAAUUCCUUAAAAGUUGUCCAUUUGUGGAUUUAUCUGAUGGUAACUAUUAAAUAUUUAAAAGUAACUUUAAUGAAUCUACUUAUGAUGAUUGUCUGAGUAAUCUAUUCUCUGAAUUCCACCAAAAAACCAUUUUAUGACCACAGUCAUAACGAACAUAUUUCUAUAGUCC
rnacentral:lncRNA from 1 species